GAGACAGACAGAGCCGAGGUGAGCCUAGCGCACAGACCAAGGGAGCCUCCCCGGGCAGCCUCACCCCCUAGGACUCCUUUACCCCAGAGCAAUCUGUUCACGACCAUUCGCCUUUGCAGGGUUUCCUGUCCACUGCAGCACUAAACUUUCGGGCAGAAGUUCGAUCCAAGAGUCAUGCUAGGCUCCCACCUCCCUGCCAGGGCCGACUGUUCCCUCCUGCUCAGUUUUAGUUCUAAGAAUGCCAAGCAACGGGCUCCCACCCUCCCCCUGGUAGCUAUUCCGCAGCAUAGCAGGGAAUUUCUAGUCCAGGUCUUCCUUUUCCACCUGCCAUCCCAUGCACCACCCUAAGUUACUUCGCCCUCCUUGAAGGGAGUUAACACCAAGCUGUAGACUCAAUUUCCCUUAGCCCAUCUGCUUCUCUGCCUUCCUAAUCUACCCAUUCUUAGUCCCUCCAGCCCCCUGAGCCAGCUUGCUGCUCUUCUCUAAACUAUCUCCAGUGAGUC